UGCAUCUUGAGAGAAAAGCUUUAAUGCAUCUUGAGAGACAGAUGAUCAGCUUCCGAUUAGGGAGACCCCGAGCCAAGAAUCUCGUCCCCUUAUAAAGGCUCAUAAGCUCCGAGCAGUGCGUGUACAGCUGGGAUAGGUGGAUGACUCAUCACCCUAUAUGACGCCACGGGAGAGGCAAGACGAGGCAAGUGGAAAAACACUGGGCACAUGUGCACCAAUGUUGUUUACUUGAUCCGGCAGCGGAUGUCAGUGCCAUCUUGUAAUGGCGAAUGUGAGUGCGGCUCCUCACAUCUCCCCCUAUAUAAUUAUAUAGAAACACAGAGGCUAUAGGCCAGCCAAAUGCAGAGUGGAGAUAGAGGUCAACUCCCAAAAACUGGAUGCAGACCUUGUCUUGAGCAGGACUCCAGACUUUGUGUCCAGAGCAGGCCCAGACCCGUCCUUAUGUCUUUUUCUGGGGGAAGGGCAUUAUGAUAUAUAACCUUCAUGCAAGAUGACAUAUCUCCCAGAAGAGCCACAAGAAAAGCUGCAGGCCCUUUCUGUGAAGUGCUUAGCCUUGCAACUCUUUUGGCCUGCCAAACCCUGCUCACUCUAUUCCGUGCAAUGAGGUCAAGCCUCCGGAGGUGCAGGAGCUGAGCAGUCGGCGACCUAUUGCUUCAACAUGCUUAGCCAAAUGCCGGGGGAGAUUCCAUUCUCUAGGGCAGCGAGUGCCUGUGCAAACACUGCCUUAUCUUUUUUGUUUGGGUUUUGAGUCUACACACAGUCCAAAGCAUAAACACCACACCACUGCAGAGAAUUGUGCCAAAAAAGUCCCACCCCCACCCAUUCCUUAAAAUAAGAAACUGCUGAUGAAAUCCAGGAAGAGCCUGGGAAGGUCUCAUUGAACUCCCGACUAAUUUGAGGGGAGAAGGUGGAGUUCCGGCUUUUGAGGGUCCGAAGGGGCUCUUCGGUUCUGAAUCCGCCCCGUCCUCCGAGGGGUCUCCCGCAGCGCCGGCGAUGUCAACAAGUUCCCGGGUUUCAGCACCAGAUGUCCCGAGAGAUCGUCUCGCCAGCAAGAAGGACACAGGACACUCGGAUCCUUCUGCAGUAAAGCUUUAAUGCAUCUUGAGAGACAGAUGAUCAGCUUCCGAUUAGGGAGACCCCGAGCCAAGAAUCCCGUCCCCUUAUAAAGGCUCAUAAGCUCUGAGCAGUGUGUGUACAGCUGGGAUAGGUGGAUGACUCAUCACCCUAUAUGACGCCACGGGAGAGGCAAGAUGAGGCAAGUGGAAAAACACUGGGCACAUGUGCACCAACGUUGUUUACUUGAU
rnacentral:lncRNA from 1 species